AUGCGCUCGAAGGAAGGUGGAGGCGCAGGUCCGGGCGAAGGGCGAUACGGUGGCCGAGAGGGCACGGAGCGGAGGACGGUGGCCGAUGAGAUCGGGCAUGGAGCAUCUGGAGCGCUGCGAGUGGUUGCUGCGGGGGACGCUGGUGCGGGCGGCCGUUAGGCGCUACCUGCCCUGGGCCCUGGUGGCCUCCAUGCUGGCGGGCUCCCUCCUCAAGGAGUUGUCCCCGCUGCCCGAGAGCUACCUCAGCAACAAGCGCAACGUCCUCAACGUGUAUUUUGUCAAAAUGGCCUGGGCCUGGACGUUCUGUCUCCUCCUGCCUUUCAUUGCCCUCACCAACUACCAUCUGACCGGCAAGGCUGGCCUGGUCCUGCGGCGGCUGAGCACCCUGCUUGUGGGCACGGCCAUCUGGUACAUCUGCACCUCCAUCUUCUCCAACAUCGAACACUACACGGGCAGCUGCUACCAGUCCCCGGCCCUGGAGGGGGUCAGAAGGGAACACCAGAGCAAGCAGCAGUGCCACCAGGAAGGGGGCUUUUGGCAUGGCUUUGACAUCUCAGGUCACUCCUUCCUGCUGACCUUCUGCGCCCUCAUGAUUGUUGAAGAGAUGUCCGUGCUGCAUGAGGUGAAGACGGACCGAAGCCACUGCCUCCACACCGCCAUCACCACCCUGGUUGUGGCCCUGGGCAUUCUGACUUUCAUCUGGGUGUUGAUGUUUCUGUGCACAGCUGUUUAUUUCCACAACCUGUCCCAGAAGGUGUUCGGCACCUUGUUUGGUUUGCUAGGCUGGUACGGGACAUACGGGUUUUGGUAUCCGAAAGCCUUUUCCCCAGGACUUCCUCCCCAGAGCUGUAGUUUGAAUUUGAAGCAAGAUAGUUACAAGAAAUAAAAGAGUAACAGGGUGGGGACAGAAGGACAAUGGCUAAUCUAUUUUUCAAAUAUAUAUUUUGCUUAGUUAUUUGGCUAAAUUAUUGAUCCUACUUCAGAGGGAAAGUGUACCAGGCAGUUUUGGUGGGUAGUGCUGAAGUCUGGGGAGUGAGUUUAGUCCUCAGACUAUUCUUGGCAACAUCACCAGUGUUGCAAGCACCACCAUUCCCAGUUAGGCACUUUUUGUCCCUGGUAACACUCUUUAUCUGGAACACUCCUUUUGUCCUUGGAGUGGGGAGCUAAGGCUCACCAAAACGGCAGAAUCAGGAAAACCUCUAUGGUGUGGCUCAAGGGGAGCCCAGAGCCUUGGGACUCCUUUGCUGCCUUCUCCCUGGUUCUAGUAGUCUUUAGAUUUUCAUGGCUCUUACUGCUGUUACUUAACAGUAUUUUCCAGCCCGGCAUGGUGGCUCACACCUGUAAUCCCUGCACUUUGGGAGGCUGAGGCAGGUGAUCCGCCCGCCUCGGCCUCCCAAAGUGCUGGGAUUACAGGCGUGAGCCACUGCGCCCAGCUCAGGCAGCGUUCUUUAUAAAAACACCCUGGUGCCUGAAGGACACUCUCUGGUUGUAAUAUUUGUUUCAUCCAUGAAAUGUUUAUGACUUGUGAUUAGCCACCAAAACAGGCCCUUUUAGAUGCAGUGCCUCUCCAACCAAGUAUUGGAUGAUUUGUAUGUAGUGGGUUAUGAUCAUUUUCUGUCCGUGUUUCAAUUACUAUAUGCUGGUUUUUUGGAGCAAUAAGAUUACUUUUUUUUCUGUUUUGUUUUGAGCGAAUCUUUUACAGUUUUUGAUAAGAACUAUGGCAUUUGUUCUUUGUUGAUGAAACUCCUGAAAAUAACUCACACCACCAAUGCUACACUCUGGCACAUGUAGGUUGUUUUGAGGGUUUGUCGGUUGGUUGUUUGGUUGGUUUGGAACACUAAUGUACUUGUUGUAAACUAAACUCUGGGAUUAUGAUCUUAAAUUCCACCUCGUGGGGCUGUUUUCACUGUUAGCAAUGAAACCCGGGCCGGGUGUAGUGGCUUACACCUGGAAUCCUGGCACUUUGGGAGGCUGAGGUAGGAGGAUUACUGGAGCCCAGGAGUUUGAGACCAGCCUGGGCAACAUAGUGAGAACCCCAUUUCUGUAAAUAAAUAAGAUAAUCAAACCAGAAAGCAGGCAUUUUAGUAACAACCUGAUGAAUUGUAAGGUGAAUCAGGGUAAUGUUGCAGAAUGCGUUCUUUCACCGAAACUUCCCUGACCACGUAUCAGUGGUAUAGGCUGAAUAGUGUGCUUCAGGGUCGUGUGCUGAGUGCAUUGAUCACUCUGCUGUGGCCCAGGGCAUCUGUACCUUUUGGACAAGAUUAUGAUAAUUCAGAAGUGAAGUAAAAUGCCUCCCUCUGAUGGCAAAAAGCCAACCUGUUUGCAAAAUCACCCUUAUUAAAGGGUGGCAUGGCUGUGGCUCCUCCCUCCUGUUACCUGCAUCACCAACUGAACUAAACCAAACCAUACCUGGGCCUGUUGAACUGCCCUUGAAAUCAGUUUCGUUUUUCUCUCCCCUUUGCAGCACUUUUCAGUUUCUAGCUUUGUCAUUCUAUGGCCUUUGCUGUGACAGUGCUGGGAAGGGUGAGAAAUCCUGUCACCUCCAUCCACAAAGGCACAGUUCCACACCCUGUGAUAAGAUGUUCCUUCUUCUCUCCCAGACUGUCUCCUUAAGCCUUUCAAAGUGAGCCCCUUGCUGUUGGGGUAAUCACCCUUAAAGCCGCCUUGAUACCCCUCUCUCCAAUCAGGCCUAAUAGCAGCAUUGACUGAGAAGCAGCACACCUGACCGGCUUCACGCACACUUAGGUGGUUGAGGGUGAAUCUUCGGUGUAAAAUCUUUUACGAUAAAGAUAUAUUUUAAAUAUUUCGUAUCCCAUCAAGUUGCAGGUUAACUUUAUCAGUCACAAUGAGUCAUGAUUUGUUGCACCCAAAAGGAGCAGAAACACAGGUGAUGAGAUAUGGGAGGUGGCACCAUGGUGCUUUGGAGGCGUUGGCAAGAUGUGACCCUUGUUGCGUACACCCAGAAGCCAGUGGUGGGAGUGGCCAUGGAGCAGAUGGCAGGGGCUUGUUGAAGGGAUUGAAAGCUCUCCUAGGCCGGGCACGGUGGCUCACACCUGUAAUCCCAGCACUUUGGGAGGCCAAGAUGGGAGGAUCACUUGAGGCCAGGCCAGCCUGGCCAACAUGGUGAAACCCUGUCUCAACUAAAAAUACAAAAAUUAGUCAGGUGGGGUGGUACACGCCUGUAAUCCCAGCUACUCGGGAGGCUGGGGCAGGAGUAUUGCUUGAACCCAGGAGGCAGAGGUUGCAGUGAGCUAGGAUCACGCCUCUGCACUCCAGCCCGAGUGACAGAGUGAGACUCCAUCUCAAAAAAAAAAAAAAAAAAAGCCUCUCCUAAGUGUCGUGUUCAGCACUAAAAGGGAAUAGGCACAGGGUGACCCCAGAAAUUCAUUUGUGACACUUAAAUCUCCAGAUAUUUAUCCCACAUGGGUCUGAUUCGGGCUCAGCACUAAAUUAAUUCUAUGUGGAAAGUGUCCAUUGCAGAGCCUUCUGUAUCGAUGAGGCUUCCACCACUUGUCCAUGCUUAGCCCCCUUGCCUUUUCCUUGGGAGCAUGCUUUCUAUUCCUAUGUGAGACAGCCUGACAUAAGUGAAAUGAUUUGGGCUCAAGCAAACAUGAGGUGUGGGUUCAUAUCUUGGCAGUACUCCUGAAAGCUGUGUGAUCAUGGCAAACCUUGUUUCCAUUGUCUGUCAGGUGGAGACGAUGAAGGGAAAUGGGGCAUGCAAAGUGCUCAGCAUCUGUGCUUAGCAGGCCAUAGUCUCCCUGCCUCGUUUUUCUUGAGUAGCCUUUAGAACUUUCUGACUCCUUUAGAGACGGCAGAGAAACGAAUAUAUUUUGGGUGCCAUUUGGAGUCGGGGUCUUUUGUUAAAACUGUAUUGUGUUGAAAAGUGUCUGUCACCCCCAGGCUCUGGGGGCAUCUGUGAUCAUAGAAUAUUGCCAUGCUUAUUUUGCCUCUCUAUGUUGAGAUUAAUUCACUGAUGCCUCAUUUUCCACGUGCAUCUGUCAUAGUCUGGGUACCAGACUGUAUUUAGAGAAUGACUUUUGCCACUGUUAUAUACACACAGAUCGUGUGUGUAAACAAGCAAAUGAAAGUAAACUGAGAUAAUGAAAUCCCA